UACGGGGGGGGCAAGCGUUGUUCGGAAUUACUGGGCGUAAAGGGCUCGUAGGCGGCCAACUAAGUCAUACGUGAAAUCCCUCGGCUUAACCGGGGAACUGCGUCUGAUACUGGAUGGCUUGAGAUUGGGAGAGGGAUGCGGAAUUCCUGGUGUAGCGGUGAAAUGCGCAGAUAUCAGGAAGAACACCCGUGGCUAAGGCGGCUCUCUAGUACGGUACUGACGCUGAGACGCGAAAGCGUGGGGAGCGAACAGG
rnacentral:rRNA from 1 species